AAGACCUUGCGCUUUUGGAGCGGCCGAUGCCUGAUUAGCUUGUUGGUAAGGUAAAGGCUUACCAAGGCUUCGAUCAGUAGCUGGUCUGGGAGGACGGCCAGCCACACUGGGACUGAGACACGGCCCAGACUCCUACGGGAGGCAGCAGUGGGGAAUUUUGGACAAUGGGGGAAACCCUGAUCCAGCCAUGCCGCGUGAGUGAAGAAGGCCUUCGGGUUGUAAAGCUCUUUCAGCCGGAACGAAACGGUUACGGAUAAUACCCGUGACUACUGACGGUACCGGAAGAAGAAGCACCGGCUAACUACGUGCCAGCAGCCGCGGUAAUACGUAGGGUGCGAGCGUUAAUCGGAAUUACUGGGCGUAAAGCGUGCGCAGGUGGUUUUGUAAGUCAGAUGUGAAAGCCCCGGGCUCAACCUGGGAACU
rnacentral:rRNA from 1 species